GACGAACGCUGGCGGCGUGCUUAACACAUGCAAGUCGAACGGAAAGGCCCUGCUUUUGUGGGGUGCUCGAGUGGCGAACGGGUGAGUAACACGUGAGUAACCUGCCCUUGACUUUGGGAUAACUUCAGGAAACUGGGGCUAAUACCGGAUAGGAGCUCCUGCUGCAUGGUGGGGGUUGGAAAGUUUCGGCGGUUGGGGAUGGACUCGCGGCUUAUCAGCUUGUUGGUGGGGUAGUGGCUUACCAAGGCUUUGACGGGUAGCCGGCCUGAGGGGGUGACCGGCCACAUUGGGACUGAGAUACGGCCCAGACUCCUACGGGAGGCAGCAGUGGGGAAUAUUGCACAAUGGGCGGAAGCCUGAUGCAGCAACGCCGCGUGCGGGAUGACGGCCUUCGGGUUGUAAACCGCUUUCGCCUGUGACGAAGCGUGAGUGACGGUAAUGGGUAAAGAAGCACCGGCUAACUACGUG
rnacentral:rRNA from 1 species